rnacentral:rRNA from 1 species
GUCUACGGCCAUGCUACCCUGAACAAGCCCAAUCCUGUCUGAUCUUGGAAGCUAAGCAGGGUUGGGCCUGGUUGGUACUUGAAUGGGAGACCAUCUAGGAAGACCGGGUGCUGUAGGCA